GUUUUGUUUACUUUCCUGAGAGUUCCUGAGUGGAGUUUGGACUUUUGGACACACUUCGCGUAGCGGUGGAAACAGGCUCCGGCACGUUUGCCUCCUCGCUCCGGUGCACAAACCCAUUUUGAACUCCACAGAGGAAGAGAGUGCAGGAACGGGGCCGGUCCUUGCACACGAGGAUCCCAAGGAUGAGUGUGGCGGGAGCUAAACUGUGAGACAAGGAUUCCGGAGGCCCGGCUGCUGAAUGACGGCUUCCCAUUGGGAUCAUCAAGCUUCUCACCUGAAUGUAA